rnacentral:rRNA from 1 species
ACGGGUGCGUAACGCGUGGGAAUCUGCCCUUAGGUUCGGAAUAACAGCUGGAAACGGCUGCUAAUACCGGAUGAUGACGAAAGUCCAAAGAUUUAUUGCCUGAGGAUGAGCCCGUGUUGGAUUAGGUAGUUGGUGGGGUAAAGGCCUACCAAGCCGACGAUCCAUAGCUGGUCUGAGAGGAUGAUCAGCCACACUGGGACUGAGACACGGCCCAGACUCCUACGGGAGGCAGCAGUGGGGAAUAUUGGACAAUGGGCGAAAGCCUGAUCCAGCAAUGCCGCGUGAGUGAUGAAGGCCCUAGGGUUGUAAAGCUCUUUUACCCGGGAAGAUAAUGGCUGUACCGGGAGAAUAAGCCCCCGCUAACUCCGUGCCAGCAGCCGCGGUAAUACGGAGGGGGCUAGCGUUGUUCGGAAUUACUGGGCGUAAAGCGCACGUAGGCGGCUUUGUAAGUCAGAGGUGAAAGCCUGGAGCUCAACUCCAGAACUGCCUUUGAGACUGCAUCGCUUGAAUCCAGGAGAGGUCAGUGGAAUUCCGAGUGUAGAGGUG